rnacentral:rRNA from 1 species
CCUACGGGGGGCUGCAGUCGAGAAUCAUUCACAAUGGGGGAAACCCUGAUGGUGCGACGCCGCGUGGGGGAAUGAAGGUCUUCGGAUUGUAAACCCCUGUCAUGUGGGCGCAACUUAAAAAGAUAGUACCACAAGAGGAAGAGACGGCUAACUCUGUUCCAGCAGCCGCGGUAAUACAGAGGUCUCAAGCGUUGUUCGGAAUCACUGGGCUUAAAGCGUGCGGAGGCUGUUUCGUAAGUCGUGUGUGAAAGGCGCGGGCUCAACCCGCGGACGGCACAUGAUACUGCGAGACUAGAGUAAUGGAGGGGGAAGCGGAAUUCUCGGUGUAGCAGUGAAAUGCGUAGACAUCGAGAGGAACACUCGUGGCGAAGGCGGGUUCCUGGACAUUAACUGACGCUGAGGCACGAAGGCCAGGGGAGCGAAAGGGAUUAGAUACCCGAGUAGUC